GGAGCUGCCGGCCCGGCGCAGCUGGGGUGCCCGGCUCCGUGCUUCGGCCGGCAGGGUGAGUCUGCCGAGUUCCGCGGACGGAACCGGGAGGAUGUGAGACCUGCCCUUGAAGCCCGUUCGCGCUUCCCUAAUGAAUAGAGUGCAAAACAGCUGAAGAAGCAGCCUUAUUGCUCAAAAGGAAAUGUUGAUACAUCUCGGGGCUUUGAGCGUGGGAGAUGAAGGGCCCAGCUUUAUGCCACUUAAAGUGGUAACAUGGUUGAUGAUAUUCUUCCUCGGCCCUGCCCCUGUGGAAGAACACAGACUACUCCGAGAUGAGCUGGUAUGCAGCCUUCAUCACAAAACAAUGAUAAGUGGUUGAGCUAAAGCAUCCAAUAAAGCAGCUAGAAGGAGAAAAAGGCAGAAAGAAUGUGUGCCUUCUUCAGAAGCAUUACUCCCCAUCCAUCAGCUGAAGAGGAAGUCUGGGACAUGGCUUCAAGUUUUCAUUAAAAUGCAACAGGGCAUCAAGAAGUCGGAUUUGGACCAACAACGAGAUAUUUUUCUUACAGUUCCUUUGCUCUGGACAGCUUUGCUGUGGGCUUCAAAGUUCUCUCUCUGACUAAAUUCAGUGAAGUUGCUUCCUCCUCUUCUCUUUGAACCUGGAGCUUUGGGA